rnacentral:tRNA from 1 species
GGCCAGGUGGCGAAGUGGAAACGCUGGAGUCUGCAAAACUCCGAUGCAUGGGUUCGAUUCCCAUCCUGGCCU